rnacentral:rRNA from 1 species
UUGACCUCGGAUCAGGUAGGGAUACCCGCUGAACUUAAGCAUAUCAAUAAGCGGAGGAAAAGAAACCAACAGGGAUUGCCCCAGUAACGGCGAGUGAAGCGGCAAGAGCUCAAAUUUGAAAGCUGGCUCCUUCGGGGUCCGCAUUGUAAUUUGCAGAGGAUGCUUCGGGAGCGGUCCCCAUCUAAGUUCCCUGGAACGGGACGUCAUAGAGGGUGAGAAUCCCGUAUGGGAUGGGGUGUCCGCGCCCGUGUGAAGCUCCUUCGACGAGUCGAGUUGUUUGGGAAUGCAGCUCUAAAUGGGUGGUAAAUUUCAUCUAAAGCUAAAUAUUGGCCGGAGACCGAUAGCGCACAAGUAGAGUGAUCGAAAGAUGAAAAGCACUUUGAAAAGAGAGUUAAAAAGCACGUGAAAUUGUUGAAAGGGAAGCGCUUGCGACCAGACUCGCUCGCGGGGUUCAGCCGGCAUUCGUGCCGGUGUACUUCCCCGCGAGCGGGCCAGCGUCGGUUUGGGCGGUCGGUCAAAGGCCCUCGGAAGGUAACGCCCCCAGGGGCGUCUUAUAGCCGAGGGUGCAAUGCGACCUGCCUAGACCGAGGAACGCGCUUCGGCUCGGACGCUGGCAUAAUGGUCGUAAGCGACC